UGACGAGUUUGAUCCUGGCUCAGAUUGAACGCUGGCGGCAUGCUUUACACAUGCAAGUCGAACGGUAACAGGUUAAGCUGACGAGUGGCGAACGGGUGAGUAAUGCAUCGGAACGUGCCCGAUCGUGGGGGAUAACGCAGCGAAAGCUGCGCUAAUACCGCAUACGAUCUGAGGAUGAAAGCGGGGGACCUUGUAGCAAUACGGGGCCUCGCGCGAUCGGAGCGGCCGAUGUCAGAUUAGGUAGUUGGUGGGGUAAAGGCUCACCAAGCCGACGAUCUGUAGCUGGUCUGAGAGGACGACCAGCCACACUGGGACUGAGACACGGCCCAGACUCCUACGGGAGGCAGCAGUGGGGG
rnacentral:rRNA from 1 species